rnacentral:misc_RNA from 1 species
UUAGGCGCGCAUUGUUGGCAUGACCCCGUUACGAGAAGAUUUCAAUUUUUGUCGAUUUUUAUAGAUUUUAGCGGUCAACGAUGAAGGCGCUAGUAAACCAUCGAAGUGCUGCGCGCGUCUUCGAAUUCGAGUCUGUCCUGGACCUUGUUCAAAAGGUUCGAGCGUUCUUCGGUCUGCAGGGUGGCGAAUGGGAUCUGGAGAUCUAUGAUGACGACUGGUCCUCGUGGGUCCUGCUGAAUGAGGAAGAUGCGAUAACUGGUGCUCGGCCUCGCAUCAGGACCGUCAUGCGUGGCGAUCUGGUUGUUCUUGAAAGCACUGGGACGACAUCCACUUCGUCAGUGGUGGUUUCGCAGCUGGAUACACCGGAGCCUCCAACGUCGCCCGAACUCCGUCGAUCAGGGGAAGACGCAGAGAUCCGGCCGAAGUCGGGAAGCGACGCUCUGGCCGAAUCUCAACAAACCGCAGGAGUGUCUCGGAUGGAUACUAUGGAAGUCCUGGAUGCCAUGGAAGUGAUCCGGUUUGACGACAGCCAGCUGAGACCUGGACUCCUCGAAAAGCUUCGAAGCAAAAAGCCCGGCUCACCUCUGACCAGGACGGAGUGGAGCGAAGUGACGACAGUCAUCGUGACGUUCGAGAAAGCUUGUAACAGUCGCAGGUCAAAGCAAAAAUACAAUGGCGCGUAAGGAAUGAGAAGCGACGAGACGACGGAAGUGAUGCCGAACUCCAAGCGUCAUCAAAGAGGUUGUCACGCGGAAAAACAUUCAAGGGAUCGCGAUAUGAAGGAUUCGAAGGCUACAAGGAGUACCUUCCGCCUAUGCCGGAGGAAGACGUUCAGCAUCUGAGAAACCGCCUCUUGAAGCAUCUACACGAGGCUAACCUGACGAGCGAAGGCAAAGCUGAGCGAGAGGCCCUGAUCAACUCGACGUUCGCAGACAGGCGCAGGCAUGUGGUGACGCUCCGCACCAGCAUGCGCAAGCUUUUGGAGCUGUAUCCAAUCUUGCGGAACCCAGACGAAAUCUGGCGUGAGCUGGCCAAACUGGAGGGGGAGACGGAGUCGUCUAAGCUUGGUGACUACAGGCGCCGCCUGAGCGACUUUCUCACCGCCAUCCAACUGAUCACAGAAUGUCAAGACACCGACUGCGUGGAGUCUCUCCUCUACUACCUAGACGCGAACCCCGAGGACAUCUUUGAGGGAUCAGGAAGCGCGCCGCACUACCAGGUCAACGACGACGGGUCCAUCGGCCUUUUCGUCGAGGGGGUCUGCUUGACAAGGUCGGUGGACCGGAGCAGCAAGGCUGAUCUCCUGCUUCUGUGGGCAGCGAUUUUCCCAGUGUUCAACCAGAAGUGCCCCGUGUCUAAGGCUAAGAACGCUCUGAUAUUU